UACGGGGGGGGCAAGCGUUGUUCGGAAUUACUGGGCGUAAAGGGCGUGUAGGCGGCCAACUAAGUCCGACGUGAAAUCCCCAGGCUUAACCUGGGAACUGCGUCGGAUACUGGAUGGCUUGAAUCCGGGAGAGGGAUGCAGAAUUCCUGGUGUAGCGGUGAAAUGCGCAGAUAUCAGGAGGAACACCAGCGGCGAAGGCGGCGCUCUGGGCCGGUACUGACGCUGAGGAGCGAAAGCGUGGGGAUCAAACAGG
rnacentral:rRNA from 1 species